GUGGGCUCGGUUGGAUGGCCGCGUAGCCCUCCUCAGGCCAAGGUCGCACGUUCGAAUCGUGUCGGGUGCGCCA
rnacentral:tRNA from 1 species